CCCGUCGCUCGUCUCCUACCUUCGAAACCCUACUCUUCGCUUUUCCCCAAAUCCCAAUCCCAACCCCAACCCCGAUCGUCUUCGGCGGCGCCACCGACUUCGAGGAGCACAUCGUCGUUUUGUAGGAGAGGCAGGAUGAAUUUGCACUAAAUGAAUCACAGGAGAUCUAUGGAGAUAUUUUUUCCUUCUGAGGGUGAUGGUGAUCAUCAACAGGAAACUUUCCUCGCAAAACAAGCACAUGGGCAUUUCUCAGGAUCCAUAUUGGGUGAAAAACUGGAAGUUGAAGAGCCCAAGAUUGGGAUGAAUUUUAACAAUGAGAAAGAGGUUCAUCUAUUUUACACGAAUUUAUGCUCGAUAUAUAUAAAGGAUUUGGUAUGACUAGAAGAAGCUAAAAAAUUGGAGACGAUGGAAAAAACAGAGACUUCACACUUGCUUUCGAGCGAGGAGGCAAGAGCCAGUACAAUUCUCGAAAUUCCUUCAAACCAAAUCCAUCUAUGAAGACAAUGCACAGCUACAAUUAAUGCAACUCUUUGCUCCAAACGAGCGUAACCGUAAUUUUACUCCAAAUUAGGAAUUUUAAGUAUAAUAGAAGACAAGAUCUGCAUGUACAAAGAAGACUGAAGCUAAAUGGCUGACUGGACAGCAACCGUGAGUAAAUAAGAAUUAUACUCCUCUUGCUGUUCAAAGAAGAAGAUUAAGAUUUGGCAAUGGAGAUGUACAAGCACUUUAUAAUUAUUUUGGGAGUAUGCAAUCCAAGAAUUCAAAGAGUUAGAAGAGGAGUGCUGUCUGAGAAAUGUGUCUGGACAGAUGCAAGGAGUAGAGCACCUUGUGAGGCCUUUGGAGAUGUUGUGAUCUCUGACGCUGCUUAUUUACCAAACAAAUAUGAUUACACUAUUCACUCCAUUUGUAUGAGUAAAUCAUCAUGAGCACUCAUUCAGUUCUUCUAAGUUGUCGAUGUUGUCGAUGUUGUCAAAGGAAGACAUUGAAACCUUCCUUCGGUAUUUCAAAGCAUGGCUUAUCUGCAUGUCGGUCAUUCCCAGAAAACUAUAAUCACUGACCAAUGCUCAAAAAUUCAAAACGCAGUUGAGAUCAUAUAUUCCGAAGCUUGACAUAGGUGGUGUUUAUGGGAACAGGCGUCCUGAGAAAUUGCGUGGACUAAUCUUUAUAUGAGGCCACCAAAAUUGAUCGAUGGAAUGCAGUGUGUGAUUCUUUAACACAAUGAUUCUGAAGAUCGUUGGAAAUAGAUGAUUGAUAAGUAUGAUCUUCAUGAUGAAGCAUUGUUGUGUUUAAGUGUAUGUGAGAGAUACAUUGUGGGUUAGAAUGUCUACCACUAAAAAAAGUGAUUGCAUUCAUGCAAUUUUUGAGAGACAUGUCAAUUCAAGAACAACAUUAAUAAAGUUUGCAAGGAAAUAUGAUAAUGCCUUUGGUUUCAUGCAUACCAUGGCUUA